rnacentral:lncRNA from 1 species
GUCACAGCUCGCUUUAUCAAGGGUGUUGACAAAAGGGAAACCAUCACUAGAGGAUGAGUGACUUCUUCGGUCAGGCUCACAUGAACAAAGGGCAAGCAUAUAUAUGCUCGCCUUCAAAUGCACUUCCAAGGGACCGCGCCUGAUAGUCUACCCAAUAUAAGCAAGUUGCAAGAGCCCCUUGCUAUAUAACUUAGCAUUAGUAUAGAUGCCUACCAAGACUUCUAUGUUUAUCAUCCUUUUGGAUCUUAUGCUUAGAUUGCCAUGUGGUAUGCUUUUCAAACAGCCAUGAUGAAAGAAACAUAUGUUUUCUCCUUGAAGUGCACGUCCAAAGGCCUCUGCAUGAUUAUCUAUCCAGUCUAAGCAGAUCACAAGAAUCCUUUUCUACCUGACUUAGUAUUACUAUCAGUACCUGCCGAUACUUUUAUAUUUGGCAUCAUUUUGGAUCUCAUGUAAAACAUGUAUCAUCAGUAGUCAUCUAUCUAUAAUCAAUCAGUACUUAUUUCCAUAUGUUUUAUUUCUACGGGUUCCCUUUUCCCACACAUGGAUGCUGACCACGGUGAACUUCCAAUCACAACUGGAGGCGGAACAACCACUGUCACGGCCCGCUUUAUAAGGGAGUUGACAAAAGGGCCACCAUCACUAGAGGAUGAGUGACUUCUUCGGCCAGGCUCACAUGAACAAAGGGCAAGCAUAUAUAUGCUCGCCUUCAAAUGCACUUCCAAGGGACCACGCCUGAUCGUCUACCCAAUAUAAGCAAGUUGCAAGAGCCCCUUGCUAUAUAACUUAGCAUUAGUAUAGAUGCCUACCAAGACUUCUAUGUUUAUCAUCCUUUUGGAUCUUAUGCUUAGACUGCCGUGUGGUAUGCUUUUCAAACAGCCAUGAUGAAAGAAACAUAUGUUUUCUCCUUGAAGUGCAUGUCCAAAGGCCUCUGCAGAUCACAAGAAUCCUUUGCUACCUGACUUAGUAUUACUAUCAGUACCUGCCGAUACUUUUAUAUUUGGCAUCAUUUUGGAUCUCAUGUAAAACAUGUAUCAUCAGUAGUCAUCUAUCUAUAAUCAAUCAGUAUUUAUUUCCAUAUGUUUUAUUUCUA